rnacentral:rRNA from 1 species
CGGCAACAGCUCAAAUUUGAAAUCUGGCCCCAGGCCCGAGUUGUAAUUUGCAGAGGAUGCUUUUGGCGACGCGCGCACCGAGUCCCCUGGAAUGGGGCGCCGCAGAGGGUGAGAGCCCCGUAUGGUGUGACGCCGAGCCUCUGUAAAGCUCCUUCGACGAGUCGAGUAGUUUGGGAAUGCUGCUCUAAACGGGAGGUAAAUUUCUUCUAAAGCUAAAUAUUGGCCAGAGACCGAUAGCGCACAAGUAGAGUGAUCGAAAGAUGAAAAGCACUUUGAAAAGAGGGUUAAAAAGCACGUGAAAUUGUUGAAAGGGAAGCGCUAGUGACCAGACUUGCGCCCUGGGGAUCAUCCGGCGUUCUCGCCGGUGCACUCCCCAGGGCUCAGGCCAGCAUCGGUUUUCGCCGGGGGACAAAAGCUUCGGGAACGUGGCCCCCCCUCGGGGGGGUGUUAUAGCCCGUGGCAUAAUACCCCGGCGGGGACCGAGGACCGCGCUUCGGCAAGGAUGCUGGCGUAAUGGUCAUCAGCGACCCGUCUUGAAACACGGACCGAGGAGUCAAGCAUUAGUGCGAGUGUUUGGGUGUAAAACCCGCACGCGUAAUGAAAGUAAACGUAGGUGAGAGCUUCGGCGCAUCAUCGACCGAUCCUGAUGUAUUCGGAUGGAUUUGAGUAGGAGCAUUAACGCUUGGACCCGAAAGAUGGUGAACUAUACUUGAAUAGGGUGAAGCCAGAGGAAACUCUGGUGGAGGCUCGCAGCGGUUCUGACGUGCAAAUCGAUCGUCAAAUUUGAGUAUAGGGGCGAAAGACUAAUCGAACCAUCUAGUAGCUGGUUACCGCCGAAGUUUCCCUCAGGAUAGCAGUGUCGUCUUCAGUUUUAUGAGGUAAAGCGAAUGAUUA